UAGGGAAUCUUCGGCAAUGGGGGGAACCCUGACCGAGCAACGCCGCGUGAGUGAAGAAGGUUUUCGGAUCGUAAAGCUCUGUUGUUAAGGAAGAACGAGUGUGAGAAUGGAAAGUUCAUGCUGUGACGGUACUUAACCAGAAAGGGACGGCUAACUACGUGCCAGCAGCCGCGGUAAUACGUAGGUCCCGAGCGUUGUCCGGAUUUAUUGGGCGUAAAGCGAGCGCAGGGGGUUAGAAAAGUCUGAAGUGAAAGGCAGUGGCUCAACCAUUGUAGGCUUUGGAAAAUGUUUAACUUGAGUGCAGAAGGGGAGAGUGGAAUUCCAUGUGUAGCGGUGAAAUGCGUAGAUAUAUGGAGGAACACCGGUGGCGAAAGCGGCUCUCUGGUCUGUAACUGACGCUGAGGCUCGAAAGCGUGGGGAGUGAACAGG
rnacentral:rRNA from 1 species